AUUGAACGCUGGCGGAAUGCUUUACACAUGCAAGUCGAACGGCAGCACGGACUUCGGUCUAGUGGCGAGUGGCGAACGGGUGAGUAACAUAUCGGAACGUAUCCCAUAAUGGGGGAUAACGAGUCGGAAGAUUCGCUAAUACCGCAUACGCGCUACGGGGGAAUGCUAGGGCUCUGCGGGUCUGGCGGUGAUGGAGCGGGCGAUAUCUGAUUAGCUAGUUGGUGAGGUAAAGGCUCACCAAGGCGACGAUCAGUAGCUGGUCUGAGAGGACGACCAGCCACACUGGAACUGAGACACGGUCCAGACUCCUACGGGAGGCAGCAGUGGGGAAUUUUGGACAAUGGGCGCAAGCCUGAUCCAGCCAUUCCGCGUGAGUGAAGAAGGCCUUCGGGUUGUAAAGCUCUUUCGCAAGGGAAGAAAACUUAUCCUCUAACAUAGGAUGAGGUUGACGGUACCUUGAUAAGAAGCACCGGCUAACUACGUGCCAGCCGCCGCCGUAA
rnacentral:rRNA from 1 species